AAAGAAUCGAAGCCUCAAGCGUCACGUCUAGGAAUAGCGCUGGAGUCGGGCCAAGUCAUUAGAGACGAUGAGUAAUCUGGUUAAGUCAUUUCUCUAAACACCAUUCCUUCAGGCUCUUCCAGACCUUCCUGAGUGGUAGUGGCCACGGCUGAAGACAGAGGGCUGCGUGGAGGCUGAAGGCAGAGGGCUGGGCCUUGGGCCUGGGUAAAGACAGCUCUGGACAUGGAGUGGCAGGAGCGAUAAGCAGAACUACUGGUGACACUGUGGGAGAGAAAUUCUGCAAAAUAACAGCUGGGCAGCCCGGGACCCCAGGGAGUUGAAAUGGGACCUCGGAGACAUCAGGAUGUCCUGGAGAGGCACCAAGGCCAGAGGUCCCCCAGGGACCGUGGAGGGGGCAUUAAGCCCUGAAAACAGAUCAUGAUGCCCAUCCCCCCAGCACAAUUAGAAAUAAAAACAACCCGGGACAGUUAA
rnacentral:lncRNA from 1 species